UGUGACUCACCUGGCUGAGGGACCUGGCGCUGCAGCCAAGGGAAGCGAUAGCAAAGCCUGGAAGCUGUGCCUUGCUCAGGGCUUCCCUGAAGCACCAGAAGGGGUACUGGAGGAGUCCAGCCUGCCCUCCUGUGUUGCUAGCUGGAAGGGCAGUGGUUCUUCCUUGUGCGUCAGGUCCAAGGAGCUGGGCUGCGCCUUUGGGAAAGAUCAGACAAGGCAUUGGCCUUGCCAGAGGCAGGAAGCUAAAGCGCAGAGUUCUGGUGGCCUCCCGUUCAGCUGUUCACCAGGACAAGGAGUGGAAGGAAUGGAAACAUUUGCAAAACCAAGCCAGAUCAUGAGGGUGCCUUUGCUGGCAGUGAGGAUGAUUGCGGUGGCCCAGUGGCCCAGAAAGGAGCAAGUUCCCCUGGAUAGAGUUACAGAGUCAGGCCUGUGCCAAUGAGGAUGCACAAGCAGUAAGAAAAGAGCUUUGCAGGGAGGAGCAGCCAGUGGCUUCUGCACCCUGCAGCCCAGUGUUACACCCCUGGCUCCUCAACACCAGGAAGUUCUAUGGGUCAGGCGGAGGAGCCAGGAGUGAGUGCCUCUCGGGAUGUGGCCAAGUCUGAGUGAGACUGGCCAGCAAAGAAUAAGGUCUCCGAAUCCACCGGAGCCUCAGUUGCCUUGCUGGGCUUGCUGGCUGCCUGGCUUCUAGGAGCAGAGGAGGCUACAGAGCAGCGAGGCUGCACUACAACCACCAGAACCACCUUUCGGCCCAAAGGAACAUUGGACGCUACCACCUACCAGCGACGUGACCCUGAGCAAAUUGCCAGUGCCCUAUUUCUGCCUCUGCAGCUAGGGCAGGUUCCCAGAAGAUGAAAGGGAGAAGGAAACUUACCUGUGCGAAGAAGGACAGUUGGACUCUGCACAGUUCCCAGGAUGCGAGAGUGAGAGGGUGGACAUGGCGAAGCUGGAGUGUUGCUUCCUGAACCUCAGGGACACAGAGCCAGUGUCACACUGUACCCUCAGGGCACAGCUCCAGGUGCUUCAUCCUCCUGUGAGGAUCCUUACGUGGGGAGCUGAGAGCCUGCCAGGGUCACCUUCAGAUUGCCUUCCCGAACCCUGUCUCCUUCGCUGUCUCCUGCCCCAUACAUUUCAUUGGCUGGUCAGUGUAGGGACACCUGCACAAGCUGGUCUGCUAUUCACCAGGUUCAAAAAAAUUUGCAUGGAACUUUCCUUUCACCUCCACUGUUUGUUACAAAAUGGGGGAAACCAGAGGUCCUUUGUCUCAGGAGCAACCCUGAGCAGGUUUGGGUUUCGGAUCCAUCAGAAUUCUGUCCUGCAGAUGAUGCUCCUGAGCAUUCUGUUAGUCACAAGUACUUUGACAGGCAGGAUGAUGACCAUCGAAUGGGUAGCCAAGUAACGGAGACCUUUGCUAUAGAGAUGAUUAGAAAUAAAGCCCCAACUGUCCCAUCUACCUGGAUGCAGACCUCUCUCACAGCAGGCCGAUGGCUUCUUGAGAUCUGAGGAGUGCAGCUCGUCUCCUGGAGCCUGGUUUCUACACACUCUUCAUCCUUGGCCAGCUGCAGAGCAGUGGAUAUCUCUCCUGUGAUGCUCCCCCUCACCUGACAUUUGUGGGCUGCAGCCUCUUGCCAUUUAAUGCAUAGAUGGCAGCAAUCAGCAUAUGGAAUGGGCUGCUAAUAUAAGAACAGCGAAACGAAGAAAGGAGAUGAGCAUGUUAUAGAGCUGAGCUGGCCUCUGGGCAGAGGAUAGCGUCCCUGGGUAGGGCUGGUCAGCUGUCUCUGCUACUGAACAAAGGAGACGGAAAGAGUUUUAACAGGCUGUAGUAUCACAAGGUCCCUCCUGCCACUUCUCAUAUACACACAGAACCAGAAAGGGAAGGGGCAGAAGGAAUAAACUGGGCUUGGGAUGCUGGUCUGCUUCUCUGUUUCCCCACGAAUCUGAAGGUCACACACUGUGCUGAGUCCUGGCCCUGUCUUCCUUGCUGAAGGGCUUUCCAUUGUAUGUCAUCCACUGGUGGUGUUCAGGCUUAGUCCUCCUGAAUUAUCACUCUAAAAUUCUAUGACAACUAGAUCUUUGCUGAGUGUUGUCACUACAAGGCAGUUAAGGUGCAA